rnacentral:rRNA from 1 species
GGCUCAGAACGAACGCUGGCGGCGCGCCUAAUACAUGCAAGUCGAACGAGAAUGUGUAGCAAUACACAUGUACAGUGGCGAACGGGUGAGGACUACAUGGGUAACCUACCCUCGAGUGGGGAAUAACUAGCCGAAAGGUUAGCUAAUACCGCGUACGCUUCCCAGACUGCGGUUUGGGAAGGAAAGCGAUACCGUGGGUAUCGCGCUCUUGGAUGGGCUCAUGCCCUAUCAGCUUGUUGGUGAGGUAACGGCUCACCAAGGCUUCGACGGGUAGCUGAUCUGAGAGGAUGAUCAGCCACAUUGGCACUGCGACACGGGCCAGACUCCUACGGGAGGCAGCAGUAAGGAAUAUUGCGCAAUGGGCGAAAGCCUGACGCAGCGACGCCGCGUGGGGGAUGAAGGUCUUCGGAUUGUAAACCCCUUUCGGGAGGGAAGAUGGGAUGGGGUAACCCAUUCGGACGGUACCUCCAGAAGCAGCCACGGCUAACUUCGUGCCAGCAGCCGCGGUAAUACGAAGGUGGCAAGCGUUGUUCGGAUUUACUGGGCGUACAGGGAGCGUAGGCGGUUGGAUAAGCCCUCCGUGAAAUCUCCAGGCUUAACCUGGAAAGUGCAGAGGGGACUGUUCAGCUAGAGGAUGGGAGAGGAGCGCGGAAUUCCCGGUGUAGCGGUGAAAUGCGUAGAGAUCGGGAGGAAGGCCGGUGGCGAAGGCGGCGCUCUGGAACAUUUCUGACGCUGAGGCUCGAAAGCGUGGGGAGCAAACAGGAUUAGAUACCCUGGUAGUUCACGCCUUAAACGAUGGAUACUAAGUGUCGGCGGGUUACCGCCGGUGCCGCAGCUAACGCAGUAAGUAUCCCGCCUGGGAAGUACGGCCGCAAAGUUGA